rnacentral:rRNA from 1 species
AUUGAACGCUGGCGGCAGGCCUAACACAUGCAAGUCGAACGAGUGGCGGACGGGUGAGUAAUGUCUGGGAAACUGCCUGAUGGAGGGGGAUAACUACUGGAAACGGUCGCUAAUACCGCAUACCAUCAGAUGUGCCCAGAUGGGAUUAGCUAGUUGGUGGGGUAACGGCUCACCAAGGCGACGAUCCCUAGCUGGUCUGAGAGGAUGCCCAGCCACACUGGAACGGAGACACGGUCCGGACUCCUCUGGGAGGAAGAAGUGGGGAAUAUGGGAAAAUGGGAGCAAGCCUGAGGAGUCCAGGCCGGGGGUAGGAAGAAGGCCUUCGGGUUGUAAAGUACUUUCAGCGGGGAGGCGUUACCCGCAGAAGAAGCACCGGCUAACUCCGUGCCAGCAGCCGCGGGAAUUC